UCGACUUCGGCGGCUUCCCGGCUUUGCAGUCCUCCCUGAGGGAAGGGCAGCCAGACAGACGUUCACUUUUGUGGUUAGCAGCUCUUAGAAGAACUGACAUUUGAGAUAAAGAAUCAGUUUUGUUUUCUUACCACCAUCUCUGUGGCUUGUCAGGAAUUAGCUGUUAGAGGUGCCUGGCCGGUUGUGACUUCACCUACUUCAUGCUCCUUUGCCUGGAUCAGAUAGACACCCCAGGCACACAUCCCCUGCCCGUCACCCAGUGGAGCCCUUCACUCAGUCACAUGAGCCCUCUCCACCUCUGGAGGUGACCUAGUUGCAGGCCAAGACGACCCUGAAGGGAGGCUGUUAGGAAGGACCUGAGCUCCGGUCUUGACUCCCAUCUGCUGCCUCAUGUUGGUUCCAACACAAAGCACACCAAGCCCUCAGGGCUGAGAGGAAGUGGGACGGUGAUGCUCUAGGGUGUCAGAGCCUCAACAGGUCAAGCGUGAGCAGGGCAGGAAUUUGUUUUCCAGCCUGCUGUUCCUAAGGAUCUCAGUUAGAACAAGAUGUAAGGAACUGGCAAUAAAGACUGUCAGAUCAUG